rnacentral:rRNA from 1 species
GUGUCAGCAGCCGCGGUAAUACGGGGGGUGCAAGCGUUAUCCGGAAUUAUUGGGCGUAAAGCGUCCUGAGGUGGCUUGAAAAGUCGUCCGUGAAAGCUCAGGGCUUAACCUUGAAACUGCGGUCGAAACUCCCAAGCUUUGAGUAGAGUAGAGGCAGAGGGAAUUUCCGGAGGAAUGGUGAAAUAUGUAGAUAUCGGAAAGAAGGCCAAAGGCGAAAGCACUCUGCUGGGCUCAUACUGACACUGAACGACGAAAGCUAAGGGAGCGAAAGGGAUUAGAUACCCCUGUAGUCUUAGCCGUAAACUAUGGAUACUAGGUGUUGCGUGAUUUAAAACCAUGCAGUGCCGUAGCAAACGCGUGAAGUAUCCCGCCUGGGGAGUAUGCUCGCAAGAGUGAA